ensembl:lncRNA
AGAAAACAUGGCUUGUUGGAAACUCAGAAGACUUGCCUGCUUAGCGGUGCUAAAAAACCACGCCUGAGCCCACUGUCGGUUUACAUCUGAGACUUACAGGGAAGACCUGGGUCUCACCUGAGGCCCCAUCUGUUCUUGAGGCAACACCUGGGUUCUUUUCAACACUCAAUAGACAGGCAUCCUCCACCUACCUAUGCCCAAAAGGCGAUGACUGAAAGGGUAUGCAGAAAAGAUGGAGACUGUCUGCCUCGAUCCCAGUGACAGAACAUCAGUUCUGGCUAUUACUUUUCCAUUCUUGGUUUCCAGUGAUUACUUAGUCAGAUGGCUCAGACAAUGGCGGGAAUGCUGUGGACAGUGGAACAAUACGAUGUAGCGAGGAGACUUCUCACUCAGCAGAGAGGUGUUAGGGAGGACUGCAGAACAAGCUCCAGUGAUCCUUUGUGAAGGUAGCAGUCUGGUGGUCUGGAAAGGCAAGUAGUCUUCCAUGCUGAUCCCAGCGUCAAGGUCACUGUGUGACCUUGGCAAGUUACUUUCCUUCUUGAAGCCUCAGUUUUUUGUUUUUUAAAAGAUUGGCACCUGAGCUAACAGUUGUUGCCAAUCUUUUAUUUUUUUCUGCUUUUUCUCCCCAAAUCUCCCCAAUACAUAAUUGUAUAUUUUAGUUGUGGGUCCUUCUAGUUGUGGCAUGUGGGAUGCCGCCUCAACGUGGCCUGAUGAGCAGUGCCAUGUCCCUGCCCAUGAUCUGAACCAGCAAAACCCUAGGCCGCUGCGCUGAAGCAGAGCAUGCGAACUUAACCACUUGGCCACAGGGUUGGCCCAGAAGCCUCAGUUUUUUAAUAUGCUGGAGAUAAUAAUACCAAUUUCAUAGAGUUGUUAGAAUUAUUAAAUGGUAAAAUCAUGAUAUGCAAAUAUAAAAUGAACAUGUGUCAAAAGUUUUAUAUACUCAUUAAUUACCAAGGGAACCAAUAAGAUGAUACAGCUGGGUUAAAGGAAAAUUCAAAGAACCACAUAUGAUCCAGGCAAUAAAAAAUGCCAAAAUGAAUUUUAAAAUAGGUGCAAACUAAGUUUAUCUACAAGGCAAUAAUCAAUUGCAUUCCACUAGGCACAUUUCAUUUGCGUUUCAGUAAGCAAAGUUAUUUGCAUCAGUUAUGUUAUCAGUUUUCUUAAUCUUACAGCGUUGUAGAAUAGCUCAAAAAAUUUUAACCCAGAUCAUGCCUAGUUUUUCAUUGAAGAUAUGCAGUAAUCUUUUUGGUCCAUUUCCGAGUCUUUCUCACAAUUUUCCUGCUCUUAAUUAGAGAUAAUGCAUACAGAGUGCUUGGCACAGUGUAAGUGCUCUAUAAAUGCUAGCUAUUAUAAAAAAAAAAUCACUGAAAUUCAUAGUAAUAACAAAAAUUGUUUGCACUGCUGGCAGAGUUAUCUCCCUGAAGUAAAGCUUUGGUUGUGGUACCUAGUCAAAAACUCCAGUGACUCGUCAUUGUCUUCGAAAUAAAUUCCACUCUUCUUA